UUGAUAUAAUUAUAAACAAAAAACUAAGGGCAUUGCUCAAGUGGUUCAGAAUCGCUUAAUAAGCACAAGCUCUGGAUUCAAACUCUGGUAAUUAAAAAAUAAAAUAAAAUUAGAUACAGAAGCCAACAUUAUGAUUUACUUUCAAAAUAAAUUGUCAUUCUAAUAAUUAUCUUAAAAUAGAAAUGUAGCUGAUCCUACCCCCUUAGUGUCACCCAAAAUGUAACAAAAUUUUUAAUAAAAAGAAUGCCUAUAAAAUACUUUGAGAAGAAGUUAUUCUCUAACUCUCUCCCUUUCUCUGCCU